AUUCACUCAAAUGUGUUUUAUUAUAUCAUUAAUAUACAUUCCUAGUAACCACAUGGAAGAUAAGUGUGGGGUAGUUAGUGUGCCAUGAAUUCACACUUGAGCUUGAAUUAUAGUAAUGGUGCUGAGAAAAAGUUUAAUAGGAAUAACUGCUUUCUACGCUGGAGUACACUCUGAAAGGAAGGAAGUCUUCCCAGAUGGUGAAAUUUUGAAGCUCUGCUACUGUCAGUACAGAGUAUGGAAUGAAUUACAGCUGCUCAGUAAUUUCACAUGACAUAAUGUAAAUGUAUUCAUGAAGUAAAGUGAGUCUCUCUCAGCUCGUGUUGAUUGUGCUCAUAGAGGUGUUUGCCAGUCUGUUGAACACAUUCUGCG
rnacentral:lncRNA from 1 species